rnacentral:rRNA from 1 species
CUGCUGCCUUCCGUAGGAGUUUGGGCCGUGUCUCAGUCCCAAUGUGGCCGGUCACCCUCUCAGGUCGGCUACUGAUCGUUGCCUUGGUGAGCCGUUACCUCUCCAACUAGCUAAUCAGACGCAGGUCCAUCUCAUACCACCUCAGUUUUUCACACCAAACCAUGCGGUUUUGUGCGCUUAUGCGGUAUUAGCAGUCAUUUCUAACUGUUAUCCCCCUGUAUGAGGCAGGUUACCCACGCGUUACUCACCCG